rnacentral:rRNA from 1 species
CCUACGGGGGGCAGCAGUGGGGAAUUUUGCACAAUGGGGGAAACCCUGAUGCAGCGACGCCGCGUGAGUGAAGAAGUAUUUCGGUAUGUAAAGCUCUAUCAGCAGGGAAGAAAAUGACGGUACCUGAUUAAGAAGCCCCGGCUAACUACGUGCCAGCAGCCGCGGUAAUACGUAGGGGGCAAGCGUUAUCCGGAUUUACUGGGUGUAGGGGGAGCGUAGACGGCAGCACAAGUCUGGAGUGAAAUGCCGGGGCUUAACCCCGGGACUGCUUUGGAAACUGUGCAGCUGGAGUGCAGGAGAGGUAGGUGGAAUUCCUAGUGUAGCGGUGAAAUGCGUAGAUAUUAGGAGGAACACCAGUGGCGAAGGCGGCUUACUGGACUGUAACUGACGUUGAGGCUCGAAAGCGUGGGGAGCAAACAGGAUUAGAUACCCUUGUAGUC